UAGUGGACAAGAUUGCCUUUCGGUGCAGC
rnacentral:piRNA from 1 species